rnacentral:rRNA from 1 species
GACGAACGCUGGCGGCGUGCUUAACACAUGCAAGUCGAACGGUAAGGCCCUUCGGGGUACACGAGUGGCGAACGGGUGAGUAACACGUGGGUGAUCUGCCCUGCACUUCGGGAUAAGCCUGGGAAACUGGGUCUAAUACCGGAUAGGACUCCGGACUGCAUGGUCUGGGGUGGAAAGCUUUUGCGGUGUGGGAUGGGCCCGCGGCCUAUCAGCUUGUUGGUGGGGUGAUGGCCUACCAAGGCGACGACGGGUAGCCGGCCUGAGAGGGUGACCGGCCACACUGGGACUGAGAUACGGCCCGGACUCCUACGGGAGGCGGCAGGGGGGAAUAUUGCACAAUGGGCGCAAGCCUGAUGAAGCGACGCCGCGUGAGGGAUGACGGCCUUCGGGUUGUAAACCUCUUUCAGCACCGACGAAGCGCAAGUGACGGUAGGUGCAGAAGAAGGACCGGCCAACUACGUGCCAGCAGCCGCCGUAA